GACGAACGCUGGCGGCGUGCUUAACACAUGCAAGUCGAACGGAAAGGCCCUGCUUUUGUGGCUUUCUCGUUUGGCGAACGGGGGAGUAACACAUGUGUAUACUCCCCUUGUCUUUGGGGUAACUUCACGAAACUCCGGCUCAUACCCCGUAUAAUCUUCUGCUGCGUGUUGGUGGUUGGUAAGAUACGGCGGUUGUGGAUGGACUGGCUGCUUAUGCGCUUGAUUGUGUGGUAGGUGCUUACCAAGGCUUUGACGGGUAGCCGGCCUGAGAGGGUUAACAGCCACAUUGGGACUGAGAGAGGGACCAGAAGCGUAUGGGAGGCAGCAGGGGGGAAUAUGGCAGAAUGGGGGGAAGCCAGAGGUAGAAACGCUGCGUGCGGGAAGACGGGUUUCGGGGUGUAAACAGAUGUCGCCUGUGACGAAGAGUGAGUGACGGUAAUGGGUAAAGAAGCACCGGCUAACUACGUG
rnacentral:rRNA from 1 species